AUAAUAUUUCUAAUGUAUGACUAUUAUUUCAAAAGCUAAAUAAGGAAAAAUAAAAAAUAAAUUACAAAAUGAUGGCUGACAUGGUGGGACGCGUGUAGUGGAAGCUUUAGUCGUUAUAGUAAUGAGAACAACUGUCGAAAACUUAACAUGCCGGGAAGCGAUCGCUGCCGGGAAAACUAAGAAUCAUUAUACGCCGACAUAACCUUAUAAAAUAAUAAUCAUUGGUAAGUAAAAUGUACUGAAUAGAUAUUUUUGACUAAAA